rnacentral:rRNA from 1 species
AUUGAACGCUAGCGGGAUGCUUUACACAUGCAAGUCGAACGGCAGCGCGGACUUCGGUCUGGCGGCGAGUGGCGAACGGGUGAGUAAUGUAUCGGAACGUGCCCAGUAGCGGGGGAUAACUACGCGAAAGCGUAGCUAAUACCGCAUACGCCCUACGGGGGAAAGCAGGGGAUCGUAAGACCUUGCACUAUUGGAGCGGCCGAUAUCGGAUUAGCUAGUUGGUGAGGUAACGGCGCACCAAGGCGACGAUCCGUAGCUGGUUUGAGAGGACGACCAGCCACACUGGGACUGAGACACGGCCCAGACUCCUACGGGAGGCAGCAGUGGGGAAUUUUGGACAAUGGGGGCAACCCUGAUCCAGCCAUCCCGCGUGUGCGAUGAAGGCCUUCGGGUUGUAAAGCACUUUUGGCAGGAAAGAAACGUCGCGGGCUAAUACCCCGUGGAACUGACGGUACCUGCAGAAUAAGCACCGGCUAACUACGUG